CCGACGAUCAGUUGAAGUAAGGGAAACAGGAUCGGUACAUGCCGCGUCUGGUCGAUCUGGACAGGCCAGUUAUCUUACAGUUAGACACGUAUUAACCUCUUGUCUCGUGUACUCCCCGCAGAGGUCCGCGAGAGUUUAUCCGAUGCGCUUCUUUCCAAACUAUUCCAUUGAGGCACCUGCGACGAGUGUUCACAGUCCGCCCAACCUGCACUCUAUAUACACAUAUAAUGUGCAAGUAUAUAUUCUACUCUCUCAGUUACUUGAUUUUAUUUUCAUCAUCAAGAAAUAUACACAAGAAAGAACGAGAUAUAUACUCACAAGAGAAUCGACUCGAAGUACCGCUAGUCGAUGAGCGGCCCCGACCGGGAGGCCGGACUCGUGACCACGGGGAAAAUGAUAAAAAAAAAAAAAAAUCAAGGGGAUAAAAAAACACUGAUAUAUAAACAGAAUAAAAAAAUAUAUAUUUUAUAUAAAAAUAAAUAAAUAUAAAUUUAAAAAACAACAACAACAAUAACAACAUUUGUAUCGCUUUGUAAACGAGAUGAAAAAAAAAUACAAUGAUCGUGCGCUAACCAUCUACCCGCGAUAUUCACAACGAACCAAUGAAUUUUAUGUAUAUUUUAUACAUACCUAAUUGAACAUUGCAUUUGUAUGAAUAAUAACAGAGUGGAAAAAAAAAUAUUAAAACUAAAAUUUAUCUACGAAUUUGUGUACAUUGAUGAAGACAUAAUUUGAUUAUAAAUUAUAUUUUAAAAUUAGCUAAAACUCGAGGUGUUAUUCGGAUGACAACAAGUGCGAUGUAAAUGAUCAGUUUGGUGGAAUGAAAAUCUAGUGAAAAUAUCAAAUUAUUUCGAUCAAUCUUUGACAUAAUUUUGCAAGAACUUGCAACAAGUCAAGAAGAAAAACUAUCAUAACAAACGACAACUGAAAGUACUGAAUAUACAUGUAUAUAAACAUGGUUGGUGACCUUAACGAACUUGGACUUGGGUGGGUUUAUAACGAUAUCAUAGUAAUAUAUGUCUUUUCACGUUUGACCUUGUCUAACAUCAAUUUUAUCUAAAAUCUUUUUAUCCAAUUUCAUCUUGGUUUAUCUCUGGUUGGUUAUAUACAAGCGUACAUUUUAUAGAGUGGUAAAUAAAUGAAUAAAAUGAAAAAAGAUUAAAUAUAAUAAUAAAAAAAAGUAUAAGCAGCACAAAGUGCCAAGUGAUGCGUGACCAAGGUGGCGGUUAUGAUAACUCUCGUGAUGUAAAGUCAUCGAACCCUCUGUUACAAUAAAUACCCAAGAGACAUUAUAUUAUACAACAACAGAUAUUAUUAUAUAAUAAUUUCUUUUCUUGUUUUUUUUUUUUUUUCAUGAAAAAUAAUGUAAGAAAGGUCAGUGUGCAGUCGUCUGGCGCCAUCAUUGAUAUUUCAACCGCCUACUUGUCUUAAAUCCUUCAUCAUAUUGCACCACAAUUCCGGAUAUUGCACUCACAUAUUUGUGUAUAAAUAAAUGUGGGUAUAUCUUGUUAAACAACAUCAUAAUUUUCAGGGCAAAAUUUAAAAAAAAUAUUAAAAACAAAACAACGAAAAUAUCUCAAUUUGUUUAUUCCAUCUAAAUCAUGACACAUGAAAGAAAUAAAAAAGAAUAAUAAAUAUGUAUACUCGAGUGGAGAUCAAAGCAUGACGAUUUUUUACAAAAGAUCUUUGUCUUUUUUUUUUUUUUUCAACUAUUAAAAAAAAACCUUUUAUUUUUUCAUAUUAUUAUUACUAACAAUAAGAUUUCUCAGAUAUAUAUACCAACAUUAUUUUUUGUGUAUUAUAGUUUAUACUCAAGGACGAAUUCUUUUCAUCUGAAUUGAAUUGCUCAAGCAAAUAUAAGAAAAUAAAUAUAUAAUAAAGCCCCUUUUUUUUUUUUUUUUAAUUUAAUUUUUUAUUUGAGGAUAUCACACAUUAAAAUCGUUCAAUCAUCAAGCUCGUGUUUCAAGCUAAAUUGCAGAAAUAUAUAAAAUACGCACAUAGAGGCCUUUGGGCGCACAUCCGGAUGACGCAAAAUGAUGAUGAGCGAUAAAUACUUGAUUAUAACAACAGCUACCUUUUAAAUUUAAAAUAAAUAAUAAUGAUAAUUUUCAAAAUAAGAAAGUGUUUUUUAAAAACACUUGACUAUCUUGAAAAAUAAAUAAAAAAAAAUAUACUAUACAGAUAAUAAUCAUUGAUGACUUGAUGGUAUAUAUGGGCACGUCCGUGCACUGGUGAACGAGGAUGUGAGAUGACUACAAAGUGAAUGAAUCCAGGAAGGUAACCCGAUGCAAUGGUGAGGCUUGGCCUCGCACAAGAUUGCACAUAUAGACUUUUUAUUUUUUUAUUUUUUUACCUAGGACCGUAUCACGAUGACAAAUAUUCCCGGAAAUACCGUUCAACCAGAACGUACUGUAUUCUAAUACAUAUAAAUGAUCAUGGUGAUCUUGCAUCAACUGAUAUAUAAAUUUUAAUUUUAUAUAUCAACUAUUGAACA